rnacentral:rRNA from 1 species
AUUGAACGCUGGCGGCGUGCUUAACACAUGCAAGUCGAUCGGUAACAGGUGUAGCAAUACAUGCUGACGAGAGGCGGACGGGUGAGUAAUGCUUGGGAAUCUGCCUAUUAGUGGGGGACAACCCGGGGAAACUCGGGCUAAUACCGCAUACGCUCUACGGAGGAAAGCCGGGGACCGCAAGGCCUGGCGCUAAUAGAUGAGCCCAAGUCGGAUUAGCUAGUUGGUAGGGUAACGGCCUACCAAGGCGACAAUCCGUAGCUGGUCUGAGAGGACGACCAGCCACACCGGAACUGAGACACGGUCCGGACUCCUACGGGAGGCAGCAGUGGGGAAUAUUGGACAAUGGGGGCAACCCUGAUCCAGCGACGCCGCGUGUGUGAAGAAGGCCUGCGGGUUGU